rfam:Mustela putorius furo unplaced genomic scaffold scaffold00057, whole genome shotgun sequence.
CGGCCGUGAUGCGAGCGUUUCUGCAGCUGGAGUCGCCGUGAAGAGCGAAAUCGAGCUUUUUAACCCUGAGCCGC